UCCAUGUGAAGUGAGACAUCAUGACUUUUUUCGCUAUAUUUUACGUUCUUGCCUUACUUCUGCUGCUCACACCAUAUACACAUGAAAGCGCAAAAGUGGAAAGUGGGGACGUUGCAUUAUAAAACAAUCGCCAUGUCCUGGCAUUACCCAUUUAAAUCGCGUUUGCAAUUCGGCAGCCAUUUGCUGUGUGCCUGAAUCUCAAAAAGUCUGGGACAAUAUAAGCUAUUUUAAGCGCUUAGAACCGAAAGAAAACAAUAUAGAAACAGUAAUAAUAAAGUAAGUCUGUUUCUUAUUACUUAGCCACUUAAGAAUUUUAUACCGUUAUAAACUG
ensembl:ncRNA lncRNA:CR44726 long non-coding RNA:CR44726